UCGCGGGAACACGGGACGCAACGCCAUUCGCGUUCACGAUUUUGUCGCAGGUGUGAAAGCAUGCAUCGCAUCGCGCGAAUUGUCGAAUCGCAGGCACAAGAUGUGGUGCGAUUGCGGGGGCAACUCGUCAAAGUNUGCGGAAUCUUCAUCACCUUGAAGGAAAUGUGACUGGAGCGUUUCCAAUUUCACAUCGCUGUAUGCGCAUUGCAAAUCGCGAUGCCGACUCACAUCUGCCCCAUUGCGGAA
rnacentral:misc_RNA from 1 species